rnacentral:rRNA from 1 species
UACGUAGGGGGCAAGCGUUGUCCGGAAUUAUUGGGCGUAAAGCGCGCGCAGGCGGUUAUUUAAGUCUGGUGUAUAAACCAAGGGCUCAACCUUUGGACGCAUUGGAAACUGGGUGACUGGAGUGUAGGAGAGGAAAGUGGAAUUCCACGUGUAGCGGUGAAAUGCGUAGAGAUGUGGAGGAACACCAGUGGCGAAGGCGACUUUCUGGCCUAUAACUGACGCUGAGUCGCGAAAGCGUGGGGAGCAAACAGG